rnacentral:rRNA from 1 species
UACGUAGGGCGCAAGCGUUCUCCGGAAUUAUUGGGCGUAAAGAGCGUGUAGGCGGUCAGGUAGGUCCGUUGUGAAAACUCGAGGCUCAACCUCGAGACGCCGAUGGAAACCAUCUGACUAGAGUCCGGAAGAGGAGAGUGGAAUUCCUGGUGUAGCGGUGAAAUGCGCAGAUAUCAGGAAGAACACCCGUGGCGAAAGCGGCUCUCUGGAACGGUACUGACGCUGAGACGCGAAAGCGUGGGGAGCGAACAGG